rnacentral:lncRNA from 1 species
UUACAGAACAGGAACUGUUAAUGAUCAAAAAAUCUAAAUCUUGAAAAAUCAACAAUACAUGGGCGUUAGUGCAUUAUCAGAACUUAUCAUUACUGUCUCUCAAUUGCAUUCAUUGUAGUCUCGAGCCUAUUAUUCAGGUUCCGAGACAACUAUUAUACAGAAAAGUAUUAUAUAAAUAUAUGAUAUAUGACCAUGACGUGCAAUAAAUAAAUGUUGUAAAAAACAUGCACACGGGCAAGUGAACUAGAGAGCAGGGAGAAACCUACUUCAAUCCAAUGACACUUGAUUGCUCCUCAAAAUUUGUUACAGUUUCAUAAAUGGAUAUAAACUAAUCACUACCACUAAAUUGAAGCACAAAACCUUAUCGAACACAUGGAAGUAAAUUCGGCAAGUGGGGAAUUCUACUUGGUUGAAUGAAACAUCUCAGGCAUAUCUUAAAAUAUAAAUAUCGAAAUUGAAAAAUGCAACAGAAAUCAUAAGUACAACAUUCAGAUUGUGAUGUUGUUUGGCCAAAAUUUCAGCAUCACUUUGCUUUUAUCUCCUUCACAUUCAUUUUUUUGGUAGAUCGACUCUUAUCUUUACCAUUGCU